rnacentral:tRNA from 18 species
GGGGUUAUAGCUCAGUUGGUAGAGCGCCUGCCUUGCACGCAGGAGGUCAGGAGUUCGACUCUCCUUAACUCCACCA